rnacentral:rRNA from 1 species
GACGAACGCUGGCGGCGUGCUUAACACAUGCAAGUCGAACGGUGAAGGGACCGGUUUUUGCUGGUUCUGGAUGAGUGGCGAACGGGUGAGUAACACGUGAGUAACCUGCCCCCUUCUUCUGGAUAACCGCAUGAAAGUGUGGCUAAUACGUGAUAUUCUGCGCCUGCUGCAUGGUGGGUGUGGGAAAGAUAUUGUUUCGGUGGGGGAUGGGCUCGCGGCCUAUCAGCUUGUUGGUGGGGUGAUGGCCUACCAAGGCGGUGACGGGUAGCCGGCCUGAGAGGGUGGACGGUCACACUGGGAAUGAGACACGGCACAGACUCCUACGGGAGGCAGCAGUGGGGAAUAUUGCACAAUGGGCGCAAGCCUGAUGCAGCGACGCCGCGUGAGGGAUGGAGGCCUUCGGGUUGUAAACCUCUUUCGCCAGUGAAGCAGGCCUGUCCCUUGUGUGGGUGGGUUGACGGUAGCUGGAUAAGAAGCGCCGGCUAACUACGUG